UAGACAAGGGCAGGGAUCCGUCCUUGACAGUGACGGCGUUUGUAACGUUCGUGCAUUGCAACUAAGAUUCUGUUAGUUUUGGUGCCAAAAAAUGAAAAUGGAAAUUAAUUUUUGAUUGGUCGAGUGAGAACAAAGGAUAUUGGACAUGGUCAGGAUCAGGUGUGGUUAGCGUCAUCAGUUGUUCAAGUCUGGUCCUGAAUUUUGCUUGUGGAUAGCAUUGGAGUCGCAUGUGGCGCAGUCAUCCUCUGUUGCCUCAGCUGGCUGUUGGUGCUGCUCCUAGUCCCUACUCUCACCAUAUCAAAGCCCUGUUCAAAUCCUAAACGCUGCAUCUAGUUUUGAAAUCGGAGGGAAAAUGCAACUUCCUGCUCAAUCCUUAUUGUGAGAUUCCAAAAUACUUGUUGAAAGAACGAAGACAGAGGAGGAAGAAGAAGCAGAAGAGAGGAAGACGCAUGAGGUACAGUACAUCCUCAGAAUCAUCUGAUCCAGAUUCUGCUUCAGACUCUGAUUCUGAUGAUAGAAGCAGCUGAAGAAAGAAGAGGCAUAAUCGAAGACGCUGAAUGAGACUGAAGAAUGUGUUGAACAACUAACAGUUUGGUGAGUUGGGGGACAAGGAUGUUUAUGACGAGGAAUGUACAAUAGAAUUUUUUUUUGAGUAAUUAGAAUAUAAUAAAUAAGCUUUGUUAGAUGCUAGGGUUGUGUUUUUUAUUUCUUUGAUUACCAUGUUAUCCUGAAGAUACUUGGAAAUUUGAUUUAAUCUUUCAGCAUUUAAUUCUGUGGAUGUGCUUAUGUUUUUAUUGAGAUGUUUAUGCUGUCAUACUCAGAUACUUUCAUUUACAACAUAAUUCCGGUGUUGUUUGAGACUUUCAUGACAGAGUUGGUUUUGCA